ACUCCUACGGGAGGCAGCAGUGGGGAAUAUUGGACAAUGGGGGACCCGUAGCUCCAGCCAUGCCGCGUGUGUGAAGAAGGCCUUUUGGUUGUAAAGCACUUUAAGCGAGGAGGAGGCUUACCUGGUUAAUACCCGGGAUAAGUGGACGUUACUCGCAGAAUAAGCACCGGCUAACUCUGUGCCAGCAGCCGCGGUAAUACAGAGGGUGCAAGCGUUAAUCGGAUUUACUGGGCGUAAAGCGCGCGUAGGUGGCUAAUUAAGUCAAAUGUGAAAUCCCCGCGNUUAACUUGGGAAUUUGGCAAUUUCGAUACUGGUUAGCUAGAGUAUGGGAGAGAUGGUAGAAUUCCAGGUGUAGCGGUGAAAUGCGUAGAGAUCUGGAGGAAUACCGAUGGCGAAGGCAGCCAUCUGGCCUAAUACUGACACUGAGGUGCGAAAGCAUGGGGAGCAAACAGGAUUAGAUACCCUGGUAGCUACGAGU
rnacentral:rRNA from 1 species